rnacentral:rRNA from 1 species
GUGCAGCAGUCGAGAAAUCUUUACAAUGUGCGAAAGCACGAUAAGGGAACUCUGAGUGCCUCCUAAGGAGGCUGUUCAGGUGUCUAAAAGCACCUGAAGGAAGGGCUGGGUAAGACCGGUGCCAGCCGCCGCAGUAACACCGGCAGCCCAAGUGGUAGCCACGUUUAUUGGGUCUAAAGCGUCCGUAGCCGGCUGGGUAAGUCCUCCGUUAAAUCCAACGAUUCAAUCGUUGGGCUGCGGGGGAUACUGUCCAGCUUGGGGGCGGGAGAGGCCGACGGUAUUCCCGGGGUAGGGGUGAAAUCCUAUAAUCCCGGGAGGACCACCAGUGGCGAAGGCUGUCGGCUAGAACGCGCCCGACGGUGAGGGAUGAAAGCUGGGGGAGCGAACCGGAUUAGAUA